GCCGUGAUAGUAUAGUGGUAGUACAUCAGAUUGUGGCUCUGUUGACCCUGGUUCGAUUCCAGGUCGCGGCA
rfam:Dictyostelium discoideum AX4 chromosome 3, whole genome shotgun sequence.